rnacentral:rRNA from 1 species
CGGAAGGGCACCACCAGGAGUGGAGCCUGCGGCUUAAUUUGACUCAACACGGGAAAACUUACCCGGCCCGGACACCGGAAGGAUUGACAGAUUAAUAGCUCUUUCUUGAUUCGGUGGGUGGUGGUGCAUGGCCGUUCUUAGUUGGUGGAGUGAUUUGUCUGGUUAAUUCCGAUAACGAACGAGACUCUAGCCUACUAAAUAGACCCACGAUCCCAAGUAUCGUGAGCGGGUCUUCUUAGAGGGACAGGCGGCUCUUAGCCGCACGAAACAGAGCAAUAACAGGUCUGUGAUGCCCUUAGAUGUCCGGGGCCGCACGCGCGCUACACUGAAGGAAUCAGCGUGUGUCUACCCUUGUCCGAAAGGACCGGGUAAUCCGUUGAACCUCCUUCGUGAUAGGGAUAGGGGAUUGGAAUUAUUCCCCUCGAACGAGGAAUUCCCAGUAAGCGCGAGUCAUCAGCUCGCGUUGAUUACGUCCCUGCCCUUUGUACACACCGCCCGUCGCUACUACCGAUUGAAUGAUUUAGUGAGGUCUUCGGACUGGUGCAACGAGCGGUUUCGGCCGCUCUCUGCGCCGGGAAGAUGACCGAACUUGAUCAUUUAGAGGAAGUAAAAGUCGUUAACAAGGUUGCC